rnacentral:rRNA from 1 species
ACGGGUGAGUAACGCGUGGGAAUCUACCCAUCUCUACGGAAUAACGCAUGGAAACGUGUGCUAAUACCGUAUACGUCCUUCGGGAGAAAGAUUUAUCGGAGAUGGAUGAGCCCGCGUUGGAUUAGCUAGUUGGUGGGGUAAAGGCCUACCAAGGCGACGAUCCAUAGCUGGUCUGAGAGGAUGAUCAGCCACACUGGGACUGAGACACGGCCCAGACUCCUACGGGAGGCAGCAGUGGGGAAUAUUGGACAAUGGGCGCAAGCCUGAUCCAGCCAUGCCGCGUGAGUGAUGAAGGCCCUAGGGUUGUAAAGCUCUUUCACCGGUGAAGAUAAUGACGGUAACCGGAGAAGAAGCCCCGGCUAACUUCGUGCCAGCAGCCGCGGUAAUACGAAGGGGGCUAGCGUUGUUCGGAUUUACUGGGCGUAAGGCGCACGUAGGCGGACUAUUAAGUCAGGGGUGAAAUCCCGGGGCUCAACCCCGGAACUGCCUUUGAUACUGGUAGUCUUGAGUUCGAGAGAGGUGAGUGGAAUUCCGAGUGUAGAGGUGAAAUUCGUAGA